GAGUUUGAUCCUGGCUCAGGAUGAACGCUGGCGGCGUGCCUAAUACAUGCAAGUCGAGCGAACAGAUAAGGAGCUUGCUCCUUUGACGUUAGCGGCGGACGGGUGAGUAACACGUGGGUAACCUACCUAUAAGACUGGAAUAACUCCGGGAAACCGGGGCUAAUGCCGGAUAAUAUUUAGAACCGCAUGGUUCUAAAGUGAAAGAUGGUUUUGCUAUCACUUAUAGAUGGACCCGCGCCGUAUUAGCUAGUUGGUGGGGUAAUGGCUUACCAAGGCAACGAUACGUAGCCGACCUGAGAGGGUGAUCGGCCACACUGGAACUGAGACACGGUCCAGACUCCUACGGGAGGCAGCAGUAGGGAAUCUUCCGCAAUGGGCGAAAGCCUGACGGAGCAACGCCGCGUGAGUGAUGAAGGUCUUCGGAUCGUAAAACUCUGUUAUUAGGGAAGAGCGAAUGUGUAAGUAACUGUGCACGUCUUGACGGUACCUAAUCAGAAAGCCACGGCUAACUACGUGCCAGCAGCCGCG
rnacentral:rRNA from 1 species